rnacentral:tRNA from 1 species
CUCCCUAUAGUUCAAUGGAUAGAACGAGUGCCUCCUAAGCGCUAGAUACAGGUUCGAUUCCUGUUGGGGGGACCA